rnacentral:rRNA from 1 species
ACUCGAGUGGCGAACGGGUGAGUAACACGUGGGUGAUCUGCCUUGCACUUCGGGAUAAGCCUGGGAAACUGGGUCUAAUACCGGAUAGGACCAUGCUUUAGUGUGUGUGGUGGAAAGUUUUCGGUGCAAGAUGAGCCCGCGGCCUAUCAGCUUGUUGGUGGGGUAAUGGCCUACCAAGGCGACGACGGGUAGCCGGCCUGAGAGGGUGGACGGCCACAUUGGGACUGAGAUACGGCCCAG